UCUUACUUGACCAGAGUUAGGAUAUACCAGCUCAGCAGAAAGCAGUUGCAUCUGUAUGAUAUUGAAAGCUGCUCUAAGACAAUGAUCCUCAACUUCUGCUCCUACGUGCAGUGGGUCCCAGGUAGUGAUGUGCUGGUAGCUCAGAACCGAAACAGUCUGUGUGUGUGGUACAACAUUGAGGCACCUGAGAGAGUCACCAUGUUCACUCUUAGGGUAUGUUGGACACUAGGGGCCCUCAGAUGUGGUAUUGAGUUGAUUAAUUAGAGCCAUGAGGAGACUCUGAAGGCUACUUGGUUUUCUGUGUCCACCACCCUUAAUCUCUGUGAUAGAAUUGGCAAAUAAAGCUUAGACUUAUGGACC
rnacentral:sRNA from 1 species